rnacentral:rRNA from 1 species
GAUGAACGCUGGCGGCGUGCCUAAUACAUGCAAGUCGAGCGAACAGACGCGGAUCUUGCUCCUUUGACGUUAGCGGCGGACGGGUGAGUAACACGUAGCUACCCUACCUAUCUGACUGGGAUAACUUCGGAACACCGGAGCUAAUACCGGAUAAUAUUUCGCACCGCAUGGUUCGAUAGUGAAAGAUGGCUUUGCUAUCACUUAUAGAUGCAUCUGCGCACUAUUAGCUAGUUGGUAAGGUAACGGCUUACCAAGGCAACGAUACGUAGACGACCUGAGAGGGUGAUCGGCGACACUGGAACUGAGACACGGUCCUGACGCCUACGGGAGGCACCAGUAGGGAAUCUUCCGCAAUGGGCGGAAGCCUGACGGAGCGACGCCGCGUGAGUGAUGAAGGUCUUCGGAUCGUAAAACUCUGUUAUUAGUGAAGAACAAACGUGUAAGUAACUGUACACGUCUUGACGGUACUUAGUCAAAAAGCCACGGCUAACUACGUG